CCCUUAGAUGUUCUGGGCCGCACGCGUGCUACACUGAGUGGAUCAGCGGGUCAGGUUGCGCGAAAGCGUUUCCUAAUCUUUAAAUCCGCUCGUGAUGGGGAUUGACGGUUGCAAUUUUCUGUCAUGAACGAGGAAUACCUUGUAAGCGCGGGUCAUCAUCCCGCGCUGAAUACGUCCCUGCCCUUUGUACACACCGCCCGUCGCUCCUACCGAUUGAGUGGUCCGGUGAGGCUCUGGGAUCUGAGCGGAAAGAGCGUUUCGCUGUUUCUGCUCGGAAAACUCAGUCGAACCUUAUCAUUUAGAGGAAGGAGAAGUCGUAACA
rnacentral:rRNA from 1 species